GUAGGGAAUAUUGGGCAAUGGAGGCAACUCUGACCCAGCCAUGCCGCGUGCAGGAUGACGGCCCUCUGGGUUGUAAACUGCUUUUAUACGGGAAGAAAAAAUACUACGUGUAGUAUAUUGACGGUACCGUAAGAAUAAGGAUCGGCUAACUCCGUGCCAGCAGCCGCGGUAAUACGGAGGAUCCAAGCGUUGUCCGGAUUUAUUGGGUUUAAAGGGUGCGUAGGCGGAUCUUUAAGUCAGUGGUGAAAGCCUGCAGCUUAACUGUAGAAUUGCCAUUGAAACUGAAGAUCUUGAAUGUGGUUAAAGUAGGCGGAAUGUAUCAUGUAGCGGUGAAAUGCUUAGAUAUGAUACAGAACACCGAUAGCGAAGGCAGCUUGCUGAACCAUUAUUGACGCUGAGGCACGAAAGCGUGGGGAGCGAACAGGAUUAGAUACCCGUGUAGUCC
rnacentral:rRNA from 1 species